UCAAAUGCUUUACAUCUUAGUAUUUAGUUUCAACAAACAUAUCAGGUUUAGCUUUUACCAGUGAUAACAAUAUAACAGAAACGUUAUAGUAUAAAGAUUGUCGGAUAUUUGGUAUUGUUUUAGUCGAAAGGUUGUAGCUUUCAGCACAGUUAAUACUGUAAAAAAAUGGAUGGAAACAUCAAAUGCUGACUCGUUUGGUUACUAGGAUGAUGGCUAAGUGGUGGAUUUAUUGCGCUGUAAAGUUUGCAUAAAAAGAGGAGAGAAAACAUGCGAAAAAAUUUCCCUCAUACAUUUAUAACUGAAUCAGCGGUUGUAACGAAAAACACUGUCUUAAAUCAUAUGAAUUUUUUCACGUUUAAAAUAUUAAUUUAGCAAUUAGCGCUGUAU